UACGAAGGGGGCUAGCGUUGCUCGGAAUGACUGGGCGUAAAGGGCGCGUAGGCGGCUUGUAUAGUCGGAUGUGAAAUUCCUGGGCUUAACCUGGGGGCUGCAUACGAGACGUAUGGGCUUGAGUGCGGAAGAGGGUCGUGGAAUUCCCAGUGUAGAGGUGAAAUGCGUAGAUAUCUGGAGGAAUACCGGUGGCGAAGGCGGCAUCCUGGACCGACAUUGACGCUGAACGGCGAAAGCUAGGGGAGCAAACGGG
rnacentral:rRNA from 1 species